rnacentral:tRNA from 1 species
UGCAUCGGCCGGGAAUCGAACCCGGGCCGCCCGCGUGGCAGGCGAACAUUCUCGCUAUUGAACUACCGAUGC